UUUGGUUUCAUCGAGAACUAGAAAACUUCGCCCGUUUUUGGGGAAAAAUUCAAAUCUUCAUAACUUGCUCAUUUCUCAACCAUUUUUUAUGAAAUUUAUAUGAAAAUGAAGCUCUUGAGGAGUAGAACAAGUUUAUACCUUUUGGAAGUCCAAAAAUGGACAGGAAUAGGCCUGAAAAUGCCUCGCAAGUCUCGGCGUAAAACUCAACUCCUUGAAACCGUGUGCUUCGACGUGGUUUCCAAACCAAACUUAGCCUAGGGACUCCCGGAAGUUGUGUGGAUGCUUUUACAACCUUCAAAACUUCGUAACUCGACCGGGAUCACAUUGGAGUAAACUCGUCCAAUUCGGAGCUUUCGAGUUAACGAGACAAAGCUCAACCAUUUGAGAAUCAGUUUGUACAUUUGGGUUCGUGAGGAUGAGAAGAUCACGAUGAUGGUGGUUUUGUGCUCAAUCUGUGAGGUUUUGAUGAUGAUCCUUGGUGUUGCAGAGAAGAGAAAGUCUUGGGAUAGAGAGAGAAUGAGAAGAUGAAAAAAAGUGAGAUGAUGUUUUUUGAUUGGUGGAAAAAGGAAGAUAGAGGGUGAGUCUAAUUGGUAGAGAGAUGUGAGGGAUGGAUUUGAUUGGUGGGUGAACAACAAGUCACAGUUCCAAUUUUAAAGAAGAAAAAGGAUAUGAUUUUGUACAAAUGAAGUCAGACAAAAUCUAAUGUAAUCUAAUGUACCCUAUCGAAAACAGUGUUUCCAACAUUGGAAUAUUAGUACACACGUGUACAAAUUUACUCGUUGUUAACACACUUUAACGUAACGUAACUUUUUUUUACAAGUCCGAUUUGAGCCUAACUCGCGCCCAAGCGUUCUUAACCACAAGUACUAUUUAAUUACGAUAACGAGAAAAAUAAUUUAAAGCCGAAAAACCACAUCCAUGUCACUUUGCCAAUAAGGGCACAAAUGUCAAUUCACAUACACGGGGAGAAAAUUAUAUAGAAGAUUAGGGACGGGUCAUCACACUAUUUCUUUACAUUACAAGAGGGUAGUGGAAACUGAAACGAAUACAGUUGAAUCGUAUCAUGCCAUGUCAUAUUGAGUUUGUAUUAGACAUGAUAUGAUUAGUUAAUCAUUUCAGAUGAUUCGCUAAAAACUUAGUUUCUCUCAUUUAAACUAAACUUAUUACUCAUUUAUGUAGUAUGAUAAUUCAUUUCUUACUCAACCAUAACAAAAAAUAGAAUGGUGUACCCCUACUUCUGAACCUCGCUACCCAGUCACUGAGAAAAAGAGAGGUAGUUUACUACCAAUACUUAAUUCAUUAUGUGUCAAUUAACAAUUGACCAUAUGUCACAUAAGUAGGGUGAUUAAGGCUUUAUAGUGAAGAUAAACGUGAUAUUUUUUUUAAAAUUCUCUUAUGAUCGUAGGAAGACUAACAUGUUGAGGGAGGCAGAUUGUCUACCCU
rnacentral:lncRNA from 1 species